rnacentral:rRNA from 1 species
CUUGGUCAUUUAGAGGAAGUAAAAGUCGUAACAAGGUCUCCGUUGGUGAACCAGCGGAGGGAUCAUUAGCGAGUUAGCAAAACUCCAAAACCCUUUGUGAACCUUACCGUCGUUGCCUCGGCGUGUGCCGCGGCUACCCUGGAGUAGUUACCCUGGACAGGUUACCCUAUAGGGGCUACCCUGGAGGGGUUCCUACCCUGGAAGCCGGCACCCGGCCCGCCAAAGGACCCGUACAAAAUUCUGUCUUACCAGUGUAUCUCUGAAUGCUUCAACUGAAAUAAGUUAAAACUUUCAACAACGGAUCUCUUGGUUCUGGCAUCGAUGAAGAACGCAGCGAAAUGCGAUAAGUAAUGUGAAUUGCAGAAUUCAGUGAAUCAUCGAAUCUUUGAACGCACAUUGCGCCCAUUAGUAUUCUAGUGGGCAUGCCUAUUCGAGCGUCAUUUCGACCAUUAAGCCCUGUAGCUUAGCGUUGGGAGCCUACGCCUUGCGGCGUAGCUCCCUAAAGUCAGUGGCGGAGUUAUAGCACACUCUCAGCGUAGUAACUUUUACACCUCGCUUUUGCAGUGGCUGUGGCUGCCUGCCGUAAAACCCCCCAUAAUUCUAGUGGUUGACCUCGGAUUAGGUAGGAAUACCCGCUGAACUUAAGCAUAUCAAUAAGCGGAGGA